AGAGUUUGAUCCUGGCUCAGGACGAACGCUGGCGGCGUGCCUAACACAUGCAAGUCGAGCGGAAGUGUAGCAAUACACUUUAGCGGCGGACGGGUGAGUAACACGUGGGUAACCUGCCCUAUAGAGGGGGAUAGCCAACCGAAAGGUUGAUUAAUACCGCAUAAACCAGAGGUAUCGCAUGGUACUACUGGCAAAGGAGC
rnacentral:rRNA from 1 species